AAUGAACGCUGGCGGCAGGCCUAACACAUGCAAGUCGAACGGAUCCUUCGGGAUUAGUGGAGGACGGGAGAGUAACGCGUGGGAACGUACCCUUUGGUUCGGAAUAGCCCCGGGAAACUGGGAGUAAUACCGGAUAAGCCCUACGGGGGAACGACUGACCGCCAAAGGAUCGGCCCGCGUUGGAUUAGGUAGUUGGUGGGGGAAUGGCCUACCAAGCCGACGAUCCAUAGCUGGUUUGAGUGGAUGAUCAGCCACACUGGGCAGUGGACACGGCCUAUACUCCUAGGUGAGGCAGCAGUGGGGAAUCGUAGAAAAUGGGGGAAACCCUAAUCUAGCCAUGCCGUGUGAUAGAUGAAGGCCUUAGGGUUGAAAAGAUCUUUCCGUUGGGAAGAUAAUGACGGUACCAACAGAAGAAGCCUCGGCUAACUCCGUGCCAGCAGCCGCCGUAAGAC
rnacentral:rRNA from 1 species